AAUCAACGCUGGCGGCGUGCCUAACACAUGCAAGUCGCACGAGAAAGGGUCUUCGGAUCUGAGUAAAGUGGCGCACGGGUGAGUGACACGUGAAUUAUCUACCUUCGAGUGGGGAAUAACUUCGGGAAACCGAAGCUAAUACCGCAUAAUAUCUACGGAUCAAAGCAGUAAUGCGCUUGAAGAGGAGUUCGCGGCAGAUUAGUUAGUUGGCGGGGUAAUGGCCCACCAAGACGAUGAUCUGUAUCCGGCCUGGGAGGGCGCACGGACACACUGGAACUGAAACACGGUCCAGACUCCUACGGGAGGCAGCAGUGGGGAAUUUUGCGCAAUGGGGGAAACCCUGACGCAGCAACGCCGCGUGGAGGAUGAAGUCUCUUGGGACGUAAACUCCUUUCGAUAGGGAAGAUUAUGACGGUACCUAUAGAAGAAGCCCCGGCUAACUUCGUGCCAGCCGCCGCCGUAA
rnacentral:rRNA from 1 species